AUGUCUUUGACAAUGGGAGAGAAGGUGCACUGGCCUUCUCAUAAGCACAUUUAUGUAUACACCAAGGAUCUGAUUAAGCAACUAAGGGAGAACAAUGUUAACCUUGGUAAGGUUUACAGCAUUAUUGGGAGCUUCUUUGGGUCAGUCGAGAAGGUACCUUUCACAAAAAGGACGUUGAGAAACAUUUGUGGGAAGAUUAGCCAUGAGCAAGCUGAGGACGAUGUCCGAAAAACACUUCAAGCCUUUGCUGACAUCCAGGCGAACGAUCCAGGAUUUACGUAUGUAGUGUUGGAAGAGAAAGAUAGCAAAAUCAGAAACCUCAUGUGGGCUAAUGGCAGCAGCCGGAUGCAAUACAAAUUCUUUGGUGAUGUAGUUACAUUCGACACGACUUACAGGACCAACCUGUACGACAUGCCAUUUGGGCUAUUUGUCGGAGUUAACAACCAUUACCAGAGCAUCAUACUGGCAGGGGUUUUGAUGCGCGACGAACAAGAAGAGAGCUUCGAAUGGGUGUUCGAAGAAUUUGUACGGAUGAUGGGCGGGCCAGCGCCGAAGACAAUACUCACAGAUCAAUGCAGAGCCAUGGAGGUUGUAAUCAAGAAAACUUAUCCUGAUACAGUACAUCGUUGGUGCAAAUGGCAUGUCCUAAAAAAGGCGAAGGAAACACUAGGACCACUAUACACCAAGAAGAGUGACUUCCAGGCUGAAUUUCACAAAGUUGUGAACCACAUGCUAACUGAAGAAGAGUUUGAAUCAGCCUGGCAAGCUCUCCUCGACAAGUACAAUUUGAGGAAUCAUAACUAUAUGACCCAAAUUUAUGAAACCAGAAAGAAAUGGGCGAAACCAUAUUUCCGGGGUGUUUUCUGUGCAAAAAUGACAAGCACCCAAAGAAGCGAGAGCGCAAUCCACAUGCUGAAAUCAUACAUGCCACCAGCCAGCCCAAUGCAUGUUUUCGUCCGACAAUACAUGAAACUGCAGUUUGAUCGAGAACGGGACGAAAGCUAUGAGGAGAAGAGGACUAUGAUUGGCGGUGCUGUCAGACGUACUAACCUUGCUAUAGAGCGUCAUGCCAGCAAGGUUUAUACAAGGAGCAUGUUUGAGGAAUUUGGACGACUACUUAUCGAAGCAACAUCAUACAAUGUUACUAAGGUGGAAAAGAAGAGGAAGUACAUCACCACUCACAACAAUGCGGCGAAAAGAGAGAAGUGGAGCAGAGUUGAAUAUGAGGUUACCAUUAAUGAGGACGAAUCAAAAUUCACUUGCGAGUGCGGCCAGUUUGAGCACACAGGGAUGCUGUGCAGCCAUGCAUUGCGGGUUAUGGAAAUUCUGCAUGUAGAAGAAAUCCCUAAAUGCCACGUCGUAAAACGGUGGACAAAGGAUGCAAGAGACAUAAUACCAGGUCACCUAGUCCAGUACCAGAGAGACAAUUCACAGAACAUGUCAUUCACUUGUAGGCAUGCGACACUAUACUUCAAAGCCAUGGAAGUCGUGCGGAUGGGUGACGCAAGUGCAGCGUGCUACGAGCAUGUCAACGCUGCACUUGAUUCGGUGAUUCAGAGUGCAGCGCCUUUGCCAGAGAAACGUGAUGGACUGGCUUUUGAGGAUCGCGUGAUUCCAAUGACUGAUGUCAGGAUAUCUGCCAAUGGCGAGCAAGAAAAUGCUGAACGAGAGGCCGACCAUUGCGCAAGUGCCGGAAAUUCAUUCAGCACGAAUGCCAUGCAGUGCCUCACAGCUCCAGAGAAGCGUCGAGGUCCUGGCAGGCCUACGAACAACAGGGAGAAGGCGCCGUAUGAAGGACUGAGUAAGAGAACAAGGUUCUGCAGCAUAUGUCGGUGCGAAGGGCACAAGAAAACGACAUGCCCAGAGAGAGGGGAUAUGCCGAAAAAGCCACGGAAGCCUGGUAAAUGCAAAAACUGCGGAAUAGAAGGGCACCGACGAACGACGUGCACGAGACCACUAGGGUUUGCAAAGAAUUGA
rnacentral:rRNA from 1 species